rnacentral:lncRNA from 1 species
GGGACAGGGUGUCUCUGUGUUUGUCCAGGGCUGCACCGGGAACACUGCAGACCAGGUCACCAGGUGUGCACAUUUGAGAUACACCCAGCCUCCCACGCCCACUGCAGCGCCUUGCAGUGGAGGCCCCUCUGUCCUCCACCUGGUUGGUCCCAACACCUCGGACUCCAAGGGCCUCAUCUCCAUCUGGUCCUUCAGUCCUGCCUUCAAGCCAGGUGACAGGGAGACGCAGGCAAAGGUAGUGUUCUGACCCCAGAACUGGGUGGUGCAGGCUCAGCUGCUGCCACCCGUCCCUCCCCAGCCUGGGCAAGAGCCCCGUCCAGGGUCCGGCCAAUGCUGCUGCCUUGUGGAUAAUGGCCUGAGCGUCCUAAGGGGAAGGGGCGGCUCAGGGUGGCUUUGUGUCUGAGUCCCCUCCAGCCACUAUGACGAAAUCCUGCAGACCUGGCAGCGUGACUGGUGGAGGUUUAUAAAAUAAUAGAAAUGUAUUGAUCACAGUUCUGGAGGCCGCAAAGUUCAAGGUCAAGGUGAUGACGCCUCAAAUGUCUUCGCACUGCAACCUCACACGGCAGAGGGGCAAGCGUGGUCCCUGGGCGCCUCUUUCUUCAGGCACGAAUCCCCCCAUUAGAGUUCUGUCCCCAUGACCUAAUCACCCGCUCUUAAUACCAUUGCUGUGGGGUCAGGGUUUCGACAUAAAUUUAGGGGGGACACGAGCAUUCUGAUGGUGGCACUUCCUGUCCCAAGUCUUCUGUUGUGUGCACACCUGUGACCCUGCACGCGUGUUUGCACGCACCUGAGCGCACUCGUACGCCCCUGUCCAUCAGGAGCCUGCUUGGUGCUUUGCAAUUUUGCACUUGACAUUUAUAAUCCCGUCACCAGCCAGAGCUCCCGCCUCUAGGUCCUCAGUGAAGCGGGUAGAGGGUUGUGCCUGUGGGAGCGGGAAAGCUCCUGCCACUUCCCGGAAUCCAGGGGGGGAGCACUUGACUCCCGCCUGAGCCAAUCCGAGCAUUGCAUCUCCCCGGACCACAGCGAUUGGCUCCAGGGUGGACCCAGCCUCCGAGUUGUCCAAUCAGAAUGGCUCCCGGGGUUUUGGCGGGGAAGCAGAGCAUCCCUGGACCCUCCGAUUUGGCAAGUCAGUAAAUCCUGCUCUCCGUGUCGCCUGGGCUUGGGGAGUAGGGUGCGCGGUGGCCACUUGUCUCCAGUUGACUUGACCCGCUUUGGGCUGCCGGCCUGGCUCGAGUCUUAUCUGGGCUUCGCUUUCAACAAAAUGAGGGCAGCCCUCGCUUUGAAUCCACUUUUCUUCCUGCUCCAAGGGACCCGGGAGUUCCUGCUGCUUUUACUGUAGAGCGAGGCAAAGCUCCCUGGGAUGUUGCUGGCCGGCGGAGGCCAGGGAUCGUAAAGAUUGCAGGAUUUUAAAGUCAUGGUGGGCAAGGGUCUCUUGGAAACGACUAAUGCAAGGGGUGGGCAGGUCUGGGGGAGCCUGGAGCCCCCUCCACCGCUGGAGCACAAGCCCUUCAGGGAGGCAGUUCCCUCGUUGGAGGGGCUGGGAGGCAGCACCCUUCUUAACGUCUUCUCUCUAAGCCUCCUGGAGGCCGGCAGGGCUGUCUGCAGAGAGGGAUGGGGGUGGCGAGGUCCAGAGAGGCACAGCUGUCCAUGCUGGGACAUCGAGGGCAGGGACACAGGCUCUCCCCACUGCCCUGGCAGGGUGCUUUGUUCUCAUGAGGACUCAUUGGGGACCUCAGUGUCCUGCAACUCUAGGGUCAGGCUGGGCACCUCGUGUCCCACGCUGGGAGUUUUGGGGAAUCCAUCCCAGACCCGCACACCUGGUUUCUCUACAUUGUGUUCCUGGUUCGUGUGUGGGGACUGGAAGGGUGGCGGCCAUCUAUGCUGGGGAAAAGUGCCCGGGGCCUCCAAGCAACAUUGACCCCUGCCUGAGGGUCCUUUACCAGGGGUUUCUAAGUCCAGGGAUGCAGCCAAAGCCCCACCCUCAUGGAGCUUACGUUCCAGUGCAGAGAUAUGGACAAGGACAGGCCCCCAGUUAGAAAUGUAACCUGUCACCUACUGAGAGCUGCUUCAAGGAAAGACGAGGCAGGGUGAGGAGGGAGAGAAUGACAGGGACGAGGUGGGGACAGUUUUCUUGUGUUAAAGUCAUCCUAAGUAUCACACAGUUCUGCUUAUACAGUAGGCCAAGAUGAGUUUUUAACAGAUAAAGAAAAAAACUUAAAUUUAAAUGUAAGCACAAUACUGCGUCCUCCCAUCACCAGCCAUUCCUUGACACUGUCUAACACGGGGUCUCUGUUCCAUUUCCCCCAGAUGGUCUAAAAGAAAAGUCUUGUUGGUUUGUGGAGGCAGGAUCCAGUCUUGACAGAGUAUUUGGUUAAUUUGGUUCCUAAGUCUUUUGUCUAUCACAGUUAGUUGAGCUGGUGGCGGUGGGAGGUCAAAGAAGCCCUCUUUGAAAAGGUGCAAUCUGAGUCAAGGUCUGAAGGCAAUGAAGGAGCAAGCCCUGUGGGGGAGGCAGGGGAAGAGCAGAGGGAGCAGGAUGUGCAAAGGCCCUGAGGUAGAGUUGUGUGAGCAGGCCAGUGUGGCUGCAGGGGAGAGUAGGAGAAGAUGGACAGGGGCCUGGUGGUGUACCUCAGGGUGUGGCACUUGCUUAGCAUGUGUGAAACCCUGGGCUUGAUCCCCACCACCACCACAAGAAAAUAAAAAAUUCAGUAAACAAAGAAAAGGUGGACAGAGAGGUAAAGGGUAUACGGAGGUGGGGGGUAGACAGAAAGAAAACUUUGUUUUUUCCUCUGGGCAUGAGGGAGAGUCUCAUAUGUGGCCCCAUUGUGGCUGCCUCCCUGGGUCCUGUCCCCAGCCUUGGUCUCUAUCUCCUGUCCCGUGCAAGCCUGACCUCUGCAGUGGACAUGCUUGGUGUCCCUUCUCUGAAUCAUAGCCCCCUCACCAGGAGGGUGCAGAGAAUCCCCAGCUGCCGAGGGUGCUGGCUGUGCCUGCAUUGGCAUCUUGUCCUGUGCCCUCCGUCUCCAGGCCCCUCCUCUCACCCGCCUUUGUAAAUCACGCUGGGAAUUCCCAUCUAGACUCUGAGGGUCUAGGUGGACCCUCUCCCCACCCUGUGUCCCAUCGGCCUCUCCCUGUUCCAGUGUUUGUGCUUUUUAAACUCCACCAAAAAUGUCACGGGCAGGUUUCUCGCUCCGCUUCCAAACUCCCUGAUAAAUUCCACCAGCAGGGCAACCCCAGGAGAGGUUUUCUGGAGCAAGAAACCCCAUAAAUCACCCCGCUGCCACUCCGGCGUGGGCAAUAUCUUAUGUAAAAAGGUGUUUCCUGGGAGCGCCACAGGCAGGAGAAUCCUAUUACAAGCCGCCCCAUUAAUUAUCAAGAGUCAAGUCGACCCUUUCCUGCGAUUUUUUAUCUUAAGUCCGAAAACUGAUUACCUUCCCCAAUCCUUCCCCUACCAAAAAGAUCUGAAGAAUAAAAUAAAUGUUUCAAGAACAAAUACCAAAGUUUCUCCUUUCAGAGGGGACCCGGCAGGGAGGGAGGCCGCUGGGCAGGGUCCUUUUCUCUUCCUUGGAGGUUGAAGUGGUCGGGUGCUGAGCCUGCGCCUGGUGCAUUUCUUGGCCUCUUCGGCCCUUUCCCAUGUUACAGAUGGGGAAACUGAGGCUCUCUCGAGAUGACAUGUUGGCCCCUUCUUCUGAGAUGGUGCGGUGGGCAGAAGAUGGGCUUGGCUGGGUGUUGAAAGACCCAGGUUCAAGUCCUACCUCUCCUUACUGGAUAGAACCCUGGGUAAGUGAAUUAACCUCUCUGAACCUUAGUUUCUUCUUCUGCAAAAUGAGGAAUAAAAGCAUCCUCCUUGGGACAAAGGACACCAGCCAGGCACGUCUCUUUCCUGGAUGACAGGAGGCCAUUGUGUCUUGAUGCAGCCCCGUCUGUUUGCCACCCAGCGGCCAGACAACCAGUAAGAGGCAGAUCCACGGACCUCUUCCCCCACUUAAACGGAGGAUAAAGAGCUUCCCCUGACCUUCAUCCUGCCCUUGCUGACCUUGGAGGUCUCCGUCUCCCUCUCUCCUUCCAGACGCCCAGCCGUGCCAGCCCUGUUCUCUUCCUAAAGCCCACCGAGUCUGUUCAUUCCCCUGAGCCGGGGUCUGGGCUGCACCCUGGGUCCCGCCUGCUCCUUCCCUAGAUCUCAGCAGAGUCUGUGGCACCUCCCUCAACCCUGGACCCCCAGGUCACCUCCUAGGCAGGACCCUUCUCCUGCAGCCUGCUGCUCAGGGCAAGGCAGGGUCUAGGAUGAGGCGAGAGCAACCCCUGUCCUGGAGCAGAAUGGAAGGGGUGCCCCAAACCUCCGCUAUAAAAAGGAAAUGCUUUAAAAACUAAAAUGGAUGUAAACGAUUCAUGAUGAAUGAAAUAGAAAACUCUAGGUAAAGACAGGAGCUCACCAGGCACUUGCAUGGCUAACCUGUCCCCUCACCCCUAUCCCAGGUCUAUCAGAGCCUGUGUAUCUAAAACGUGGCUUUUAGAGUCUAGUAAGAUGGGGGCACACUUGUAAUCCUAGUAACUUGGGAGGCUGAGGCAGGAGGAUGGCAUUGGAGGCCAGCCUCAGCAACUUAGAGAGACCCCUGUCUCGAAAUGAAAAAUAAAAAGGGCUGGGGAUGUGGCUCAGGGGUAAAGUACCCCCAGGUUUAAUCCCCAGUGCAAAGAAAAGAAAAAUUAGUUUGAUGUAAUCUUGUUUGCAAUAUAGAUAUAAACCAUCACAUCAGUUCCCAUGAAUAGACACAACUAUUAUGUAUCAAUUAAAAAUAAAUAACUUAAAAAGGUGGCCCUUUUGUUUGCAGUGGGUUAUUUUACGUUCAUUUCGAUGCCUUGAGGUAUUAGUUUUAAAUGCUAUUUAUCUGGAUUUCUGAGUUUGGGGUGUGCUCGCUUCAGUUCUGCACCCAGGGCCAUUACCCACUUGCUUUCCUGUAGGCUGGCCGGGCGGAGCACCCCUCCCGGCUCCCGGUUACUCUCCACCCCACCCCCUCUCCUCCUAUCUCUAUUUGCAGUUUUUGUUGAUUUUCUCCCUUGGUGACUGUCGUCUCUCUGAGCAGAAUCUCAGCCCUGGGAGAACCAGGACCAGAUCUGUUCACAUCUGUGACUGAACCCAGAGGAGCAGCCAGUUCAUGGGAGACCUUCCACAAAUAUUUGCUGAAGAGCUGAAUGAACAAUCAAAUGAACAGAAGGUUCAGGAAGCCAGGUAGAGGGCUCCAGGGUUUCCAGUCCACCCCCCCUCCCACCCCCCAUUUUCCACAUGAGAAGUCUGUGGCCCAGAGAGGGUGAGGGACCCAGUCGCGGUCACAGAGUAAUACCAUGGCAAAGCCAGUCUCAAACUGAAAACCCAUGAGGCUGUGUGGUUACCACGGAGAGGUCUCUGGUCACCUGGAAUGGGCCAGUUAGGGGACAGUUCUUUCUGAGUAGACGUUCCUGAAACAUCCUCCCCUAACCCAUCCGCCAUCCUGGGUUUUGCCAUAUGGAUGGGUCACCUUCACUCUCGUUCUCUGGUUCAUAGUUUUCUAGAAGCCUCCAAGGCUGUUGGAAAGAAGACCUCAUUAGCAGUGUAAGUGGACAAACAGGGUCACCUCCUAGAACCAGGCAACAGUGGAGACACCCGAGGAUAAGGGGACAACAUCGCUACAUUGUCUCCAGCUCCACAGUGGCUGGGAAACAGGUGCGGCUGCCUAACACCCAGAUGGGCUCUGGGGAGGGUGCACCUGGCGUCUCUGCAACUCCCGGCCCCAGGGUUGCCUGCCCUGCACCGAGGACACCCGUUCUGAUGUCAAGGACCCCAAACCGCGUGGGAGGCCCACACCUGCUCCAGCUGGACCUGCUGCUGCCCGCUGUAGCCUGACGACCUUGCCAGCCUGGAAGGUGGUCCCCACCGUGAGGAGGGGGGGUCUUCAGGUCCCUGGAGAUAAUAUCAGGGCAUCCCGCCCUCCCUGGUGUUUUGAAUGGUCACAAACCUCACCGCAAGUCAGGAACAUUCAGCACGUUCAGAGUUCUGUGCAGCCACUUCUUCCUCUUCCAGUUCUAGAACAUUCUCGGUUCUGCACAAGGACACCGGCACCUACUGAACUGCCACCCGGUCCCCCGCCCCUGGCAACCGCUGGUCAGCUCUCUGCGCCUGGGACUCCACAGUCCUGGACAUUCCCUAUGAACAGAAUCCUCCCGUGUGUGGCUUCCUGGUGACUGGCUUCUGCCACUUAGCACAACUUGGGGGUCCCUCCAUGCCGUCCUAUGUGCCACAUCCUGUUCCUCUGGUCGUCUGUUAAUGGCACAUUCCUUUUCAAACAGAUUAUUAAAAUAGUCCCCCCCCCAGAUCUUGAGCCUCGCUGUGCUACCCCCCGUUUCCCACCAGACAGCAGAGAGACUCUUGAAGAAGGUUCUGGAAGAUGGUAGUUUUUUUGUCUGUGGAAUCUGUGACGUUAUUCUUUGUUUUUUUAAAAAAAAGCUCCAAGCACUUCUUCAAAGACGAAAAUAGAAUUGCCAAGAAGAACGGCAGCAUCAAUCCAUGGAAAUUA